AUUGAACGCUGGCGGCAGGCCUAACACAUGCAAGUCGAGCGGGGUUUUCGGACCUAGCGGCGGACGGGUGAGUAAUGCGUAGGAAGCUGCCCGAUAGAGGGGGAUACCAGUUGGAAACGACUGUUAAUACCGCAUAAUGUCUACGGACCAAAGUGUGGGACCUUCGGGCCACAUGCUAUCGGAUGCGCCUACGUGGGAUUAGCUAGUUGGUGAGGUAAUGGCUCACCAAGGCGACGAUCUCUAGCUGGUUUGAGAGGAUGAUCAGCCACACUGGAACUGAGACACGGUCCAGACUCCUACGGGAGGCAGCAGUGGGGAAUAUUGGACAAUGGGCGCAAGCCUGAUCCAGCCAUGCCGCGUGUGUGAAGAAGGCCUUCGGGUUGUAAAGCACUUUCAGCGAGGAGGAAGGGGUGUGUGUUAAUAGUACACACCUUUGACGUUACUCGCAGAAGAAGCACCGGCUAACUCUGUGCCAGCCGCCGCCGUAAUAC
rnacentral:rRNA from 1 species